rnacentral:rRNA from 1 species
UGGGGAAUAUUGCACAAUGGGCGCAAGACUGAUGCAGCCAUGCCGCGUGUAUGAAGAAGGCCUUCGGGUUGUAAAGUACUUUCAGUCGGGAGGAAGGUGGUAAGGUUAAUAACCUUAUCAAUUGACGUUACCGACAGAAGAAGCACCGGCUAACUCCGUGCCAGCGGCCGCGGUAAUACGGAGGGUGCAAGCGUUAAUCGGAAUUACUGGGCGUAAAGCGCACGCAGGCGGUUUGUUAAGUCAGAUGUGAAAUCCUCGGGCUCAACCUGGGAACUGCAUCUGAUACUGGCAAGCUUGAGUCUCGUAGAGGGGGGUAGAAUUCCAGGUGUAGCGGUGAAAUGCGUAGAGAUCUGGAGGAAUACCGGUGGCGAAGGCGGCCCCCUGGACGAAGACUGACGCUCAGGUGCGAAAGCGUGGGGAGCAAACAGG